UACGUAGGGUGCGAGCGUUGUCCGGAAUUACUGGGCGUAAAGAGCUCGUAGGUGGUUUGUCGCGUUGUUCGUGAAAACCGGGGGCUUAACCCUCGGCGUGCGGGCGAUACGGGCAGACUAGAGUACUGCAGGGGAGACUGGAAUUCCUGGUGUAGCGGUGGAAUGCGCAGAUAUCAGGAGGAACACCGGUGGCGAAGGCGGGUCUCUGGGCAGUAACUGACGCUGAGGAGCGAAAGCGUGGGGAGCGAACAGGAUUAGAAACCCGGGUAGUCC
rnacentral:rRNA from 1 species